AAUCUAGCGCUUUUUGAAAUGGUGAGUUGGUAACUCUAGCAAUCCUUAUUCAGACAGCCAACAGUACCAAGCAAAACCCAAGAAGACGGAGUAUUGUGCCUGUUUCAGUCGACCAUGGCUGCCGAAGGGAACGCGGAGAGCCACAAGCUGCUGACGGAGGAGAACGUCAGGGCGGCCCUGGAGAGCGACCAGGGGCCGGACGCGACGCUCCUGUCGUGGCGGGUCCGGGACUUCACGCAGAAGGGCGACAACUACGCGUGCUUCGUGACGAGCGUGGAGGUGCGGUUCAGGCUGGGGGCGGGGAGGAGCGGUUCAGGCUGGGGGGCGGGGAGGAGCGGUUCAGGCUGGGGGCGGGGAGGAGAGGGCCGCCUCCUACGUGGCCAAGCUGAACCCUCGCCGCGUCAACGAGGCGCUCAACGAGAUGAUGGCCAAGCUCUUCUACCGCGAAGGCACCGUCUUCACCAAGGUCGUCCCGGCGAUGAACCGGAUCCUGGCCAGGAUCGGAUGCCCGCCCAUCGCGGUCGCCAAGUGCUUCUUCUGCUCGCUGGCGAAGGGCGAGGAGGUCCUCAUCCUGGAGGACCUGCGGCCACGGGGCUUCAGGAUGUGGGAUCGGCGCCGCGGCCUAGACGCGCCCCACGCCCGCCUCGUCCUGCAGGAGCUCGGCCGCUUCCACGCCGCCUCGCUCCUGCUGGAGUCCGAGCUGCCCAACAAGGACCUCCUGCGCACCUACAGCCUCGGCGACCACUUCAUGUCGUCAGACGCGGCCAAGAAGUUGUUCGGCGGGAUGGUGUCCGCUCAGCUGGAGGCGACGGCGAGGAUUCUGGAAGAGAUCCCAAAAUAUGAGCGUGUCUGCCAGUGGCUGCACGAGACCAAGGGUGAAUCCUUGAACAUGUUCACAGAAAUGCUGGAUCCAGCGAAUUACAAGCCGCCGUUCUUUGUUCUCAACCACGGGGAUUGUUGGAACAAUAACCUGUUGUUCAGGUAUGAUGACUCCGGCGCCCCCGUGCAGGUCAUGCUUGUUGACCUGCAGGUGGCGAGGAAGGUCUCACCUGCGCUUGACCUCAACUACUUCCUCUACUCGAGCUUCAACGGACCGGAGCGCCAGCAGAACCUGGAACAGUUCCUCAAGGUCUACCACGACUCCUUCAGUCGCGUCACGUCCGCUGGGGGCUUCGAGGAGCUCUUCGGCAUCGACCAGCUCCGGGACGAGUUCAGGGCCAAGAUGCUGUUCGGUUGCAUCUCAGGCAUGAUGAUUAUGCCUCUCGUGCUGAGCGAGGAGAAGGAUGUGCCCGACUUCGAUGUCAAGUCGGACGAAGACAUGGAGCAGUAUAAGGAGGAGCGUCAGAAAGUCCUCUUGGAGAUGAGCAAGAGAGAAGAUGGUCUGCUCAAGCCCAGGUUACUCGACAUGCUGGAUGAAAUGAUGGAGUUUGGUAUCAUUUCCUAGCAGAGAAAAGGACGUGUUGGAUGAAAUGAUGGGAGAUUGGCAUCAUUUCCUAGCAGAGAGAAAAAGUUUGGGAUUUUUUUCUGGAAGGCCAGAAAGUGGAUGCUACCAAAAUGUUAAAUAAGAAAACUAUUUAAAUUUUCAUAUACUUUAUUAUACUUAUAAAAACAAUAUUAAAGCUGACGGAUUAUUC